GUUCGGGUAAUGGUAGGGCCGUAAAACUAAUUCGGUAAAAUCUUCCAGAACGCAUCAAUUAGCGGCUCAUGCAGCCGCUUUUUUUGCGCGCAGACGCCGAGUUCAAACGGCGUUUUUUCA
rnacentral:rRNA from 1 species